GAUGUGUGUGUGACGAUGCUGGUAGUGUGCUAUGUGGGUGAGGGUGUUUGUGUGUGCGUGCUUGUGGGGAUGCUGUUAAUGUACUGUGUGUGAGGGUGCUGUUUGUGUGUGUGUGUGCGCUUGUGAGGGUGCUGUUAAUGUACUGUGUGUGAGGGUGCUGUUUGUGUGUGAGGGUACUGGUAGUGUGCUGUGUUUGUGUUUGUUAGGGUCCUGUUUGUGUUUGUGAGGGUACUGUUAGUGUGCUGUGUGUGUGUGAGGGUGCUGUUUGUGUGCUGUGUGUGAGGGUGCUGUGUGUGUUUGUG
rnacentral:lncRNA from 1 species